CAGCAGCCGCGGUAAUACAGAGGGUGCGAGCGUUAAUCGGAUUUACUGGGCGUAAAGCGUGCGUAGGCGGCUUCUUAAGUCGGAUGUGAAAUCCCUGAGCUUAACUUAGGAAUUGCAUUCGAUACUGGGAAGCUAGAGUAUGGGAGAGGAUGGUAGAAUUCCAGGUGUAGCGGUGAAAUGCGUAGAGAUCUGGAGGAAUACCGAUGGCGAAGGCAGCCAUCUGGCCUAAUACUGACGCUGAGGUACGAAAGCAUGGGGAGCAAACAGGAUUAGAUACCCCGGUAGUCCCUGUCUCUUAUAA
rnacentral:rRNA from 1 species